UGCAGUCGAGCGAAUGGAUUGAGAGCUUGCUCUCAAGAAGUUAGCGGCGGACGGGUGAGUAACACGUGGGUAACCUGCCCAUAAGACUGGGAUAACUCCGGGAAACCGGGGCUAAUACCGGAUAACAUUUUGAACUGCAUGGUUCGAAAUUGAAAGGCGGCUUCGGCUGUCACUUAUGGAUGGACCCGCGUCGCAUUAGCUAGUUGGUGAGGUAACGGCUCACCAAGGCAACGAUGCGUAGCCGACCUGAGAGGGUGAUCGGCCACACUGGGACUGAGACACGGCCCAGACUCCUACGGGAGGCAGCAGUAGGGAAUCUUCCGCAAUGGACGAAAGUCUGACGGAGCAACGCCGCGUGAGUGAUGAAGGCUUUCGGGUCGUAAAACUCUGUUGUUAGGGAAGAACAAGUGCUAGUUGAAUAAGCUGGCACCUUGACGGUACCUAACCAGAAAGCCACGGCUAACUACGUGCCAGCAGCCGCGGUAAUACGUAGGUGGCAAGCGUUAUCCGGAAUUAUUGGGCGUAAAGCGCGCGCAGGUGGUUUCUUAAGUCUGAUGUGAAAGCCCACGGCUCAACCGUGGAGGGUCAUUGGAAACUGGGAGACUUGAGUGCAGAAGAGGAAAGUGGAAUUCCAUGUGUAGCGGUGAAAUGCGUAGAGAUAUGGAGGAACACCAGUGGCGAAGGCGACUUUCUGGUCUGUAACUGACACUGAGGCGCGAAAGCGUGGGGAGCA
rnacentral:rRNA from 1 species